rnacentral:rRNA from 1 species
ACGCUGGCGGCGUGCUUAACACAUGCAAGUCGAACGCGAAAGGGACUUCGGUCCUGAGUAGAGUGGCGCACGGGUGAGUAACGCGUAAGUGAUCUACCCCUGUAUUUGGGAUAACUAUGGGAAACUGUAGCUAAUACCGGAUACGUUCAUGUAGUUGCGAUUAUAUGAAGAAAGAUGGCCUCUGAUUCAAGCUAUUGUACAGGGAGGAGCUUGCGUACCAUUAGCUAGUUGGUAGGGUAAUGGCCUACCAAGGCAACGAUGGUUAGCGGGUCUGAGAGGAUGAUCCGCCACACUGGAACUGAAACACGGACCAGACUCCUACGGGAGGCAGCAGUGAGGAAUAUUGCGCAAUGGGGGCAACCCUGACGCAGCGACGCCGCGUGGAUGAUGAAGGCCUUCGAGUCGUAAAAUCCUGUCAGAUGGGAAGAAGUGCAUGGUGGUUAAUACCCGCCAUGUUUGACGGUACCAUCAGAGGAAGCACCGGCUAACUCCGUGCCAGCAGCCGCGGUAAUACGGAGGGUGCAAGCGUUGUUCGGAAUUACUGGGCGUAAAGCGCGCGUAGGCGGUUUGUUAAGUCAGAUGUGAAAGCCCAGGGCUUAACCUUGGACGUGCAUUUGAAACUGGCAGACUUGAGUAUCGGAGGGGGUGGUGGAAUUCCCGGUGUAGAGGUGAAAUUCGUAGAUAUCGGGAGGAAUACCGGUGGCGAAGGCGACCACCUGGCCAAAUACUGACGCUGAGGUGCGAAAGCGUGGGGAGCAAACAGGAUUAGAUACCCUGGUAGUCCACGCCGUAAACGAUGAGAACUAGGUGUUGGGACGGUUGAUCGUCU